rnacentral:lncRNA from 1 species
UACGGAUCAAAAGUUACAAGCACCACAAGAUAUGAUGGCAUGAAUGCAAUAUGUGUGCAACGGUGGCUACGAGCACUUCAUCACAUGCAACCAGCCAUAGAAAAUGAAACUACACGAGAUUCCAAGCAAGUUUCAUGUAGGACACGAACAAAUCGGAGCUACGGUUCAAAAACUACGAGCAAAACAAGAAAGGACAACAAUCUGCCAAAAUCAGCCACAUAGCAUAUUCUACGCCCCACAACUACGGCUACACAACUCCGAUAAGCUCAAGCAAGGCAUGGCACGGAAGAGGGAAAGAAGCACUACUACAGACUACUAACAACAACUAACAUGGCAACAAGGAGCACAAGGAAAAGAAGACACAAAAUGGCAUCUCACGCACUAUUUCAGACUUAGUGAAAAUAACACCUCAUGAAAGUGCAGUUUUCAGCCUGAAGCAAUAUUGACAGCAGCAAAACCUAUAUCUACAGGACUCCAAAUGGCAUAAAACUUCACAGCAAACUAGAGAAACACAAGGGGUACAACUAACUCCAUUGGACCAACCCCAAAAGAGCUACA